UGCCAGACUCCUACGGGAGGCAGCAGUGGGGAAUAUUGCACAAUGGGGGAAACCCUGAUGCAGCGACGCCGCGUGAGUGAAGAAGUAUUUCGGUAUGUAAAGCUCUAUCAGCAGGGAAGAAAAUGACGGUACCUGACUAAGAAGCCCCGGCUAACUACGUGCCAGCAGCCGCGGUAAUACGUAGGGGGCAAGCGUUAUCCGGAUUUACUGGGUGUAAAGGGAGCGUAGACGGCAAUGCAAGUCUGGAGUGAAAGCCCAAGGCCCAACCAUGGGACUGCUCUGGAAACUGUGUAGCUUGAGUGCAGGAGGGGUAAGCGGAAUUCCUAGUGUAGCGGUGAAAUGCGUAGAUAUUAGGAGGAACACCGGUGGCGAAGGCGGCUUACUGGACUGCAACUGACGUUGAGGCUCGAAGGCGUGGGGAGCAAACAGGAUUAGAUACCCCCGUAC
rnacentral:rRNA from 1 species